rnacentral:rRNA from 1 species
UGGGCGUAAAGCGCGCGCAGGUGGUUUCUUAAGUCUGAUGUGAAAGCCCACGGCUCAACCGUGGAGGGUCAUUGGAAACUGGGAGACUUGAGUGCAGAAGAGGAAAGUGGAAUUCCAUGUGUAGCGGUGAAAUGCGUAGAGAUAUGGAGGAACACCAGUGGCGAAGGCGACUUUCUGGUCUGUAACUGACACUGAGGCGCGAAAGCGUGGGGAGCAAACAGGAUUAGAUACCCUGGUAGUCCACGCCGUAAACGAUGAGUGCUAAGUGUUAGAGGGUUUCCCCCCUUUAGUGCUGAAGUUAACGCAUUAAGCACUCCGCCUGGGGAGUACGGCCGCAAGGCUGAAACUCCAAGGAAUUGACGGGGGCCCGCCCCAGCGGUGGAGCAUGUGGUUUUUUUCAAAGCAACCCCAA